rnacentral:lncRNA from 1 species
UAUAUCCUAUAUAUGUUCUCUAUCUGCUUGGAUGUUUCUCUGUUGUAGAAAUUCAGAGUUUUAUUAGAAAUCAACCCAGAAACUACAGACUGACGUUCAUAAAACGAGAAUCUGAAACUCACCGAUCGAUGGAAGCAACAAGCUCCAAGAAUCAGCGAGCACAAGAGAAAUUGAAAAUGAAAAAUGUUCACAAGAUUUUUGAUAAUCAAAAGUGUAAAAGUAUUUGUCUUCUUAUAGCCUCCAGCUUCCUCGUUCCUUCCUUGUAACAAACUAUUUUGAUCUUCCAAUCAUAAGCCACCAUCUUGAUCCAAUUAGAAAGCUCCACGUUACUGAGAUGACUACUCAUUUUACCACAGCCACGUCACCUUCUCCCAACUCUCAAUUUACUAUAUCAUUCUCUGAAUCGACUGAUUCGAAAUCGGGGUCAACCCAACUUUGAGGGGAAGAUUAAUCUAGCUCGGUUCGA